GUGCAGGUGGAAGAAAACUCAUACAUCUGCGGUCUGUGCUUCCUGGUGAGCCAUACAUCAUCCACAUGAGUAAGAUGGCUGCCCCCUGUGCACCAUGAGACUGGUAAAGAAGUCAAAUUUGGAGGGUCAUGGGCGUUCCCCCACCACCUAUCCCAGAGGCUCUACACCCCGCCUCUGCACCCAACCACCCACACUCACACACACACACAGAGCCGUGCUGGUGCUGGUGCAGGUGUGUGUGAGGUUUGGAGGUAAUUUAAACCAGAUGAGGUGGUGUCUUUCAGCCUGUGGCCCCGUCACUUCAUCAAUAUCGGAGAGAUGGAGGGACGGAGGAAUGAAGAGAUGGAUGGAUGGGUGGAGAAGAAGAAAGGUGGAAAGCAUUGCCUCACAAAAAAGGGCAACGGGAAGAAGACAAAGGAUUAGGGAAACUAUCUAUCUAUCUGUCUAUGUAUAUAUCUAUCUAUCUAAAAACAAAGUUAAAUUUCACUAACAUUAUCUUGCUGCCCCGCCAGGUUGGCUCUGACCCUGAAAUGCUUGUUUAUGAUAGAAAGAUAGAUAGGAAAGAUUUAGUUUUUACUUCAGGGCAACAACACAUUAGUGCAAAUGAAAAAAAAAAGAAGAAAACCUCAAACUUAUAUUGGCUUUGCACAUCCUUUGAUCCAUUAUUGGUAAAUUGUUGCUGCCUUUACAGUCUGUAAACCGAACAAAAUAGAGCCAAAUGUUCUUUAUACUGUGCUUUUUAUCUUUUUUGGGGGAAUGAGCCAUGAGCCACUUAUGAGACAAUUAAAAUAUGUACAUAUGGAUGAUAUCUACAGCUCCAUAAAUAAAUAAAUAAUUCAGCA